rnacentral:rRNA from 1 species
UGAAUACGAGACGCUACGGCGUUGAAGCAGUCUAUGUCAUACUUCCAAGAAAAGCUUGCAAUGUCAUAAACAAAUAACGCCUGUACCAUAACCGACACAGGUGGGUAGGUAGAGUAUACUAAGGGGCGCGAGAUAACUCUCUCUAAGGAACUCGGCAAAAUGACUCCGUAACUUCGGGAGAAGGAGUGCCUUAUUUAUAAGGUUGCAAUAACAAGAUCCAAGCAACUGUUUAUCAAAAACACAGGUCUCCGCUAAGUCGUAAGACGAUGUAUGGGGGCUGACGCCUGCCCAGUGCCAGAAGGUUAAAGAAGUUGGUUAGCAUUAGCGAAGCUGAUAACUGAAGCCCUGGUGAACGGCGGCCGUAACGAUAACGGUCCUAAGGUAGCGAAAUUCCUUGUCGGGUAAGUUCCGACCCGCACGAAAGGCGUAAUGAUUUGGAUACUGUCUCGGAGAGGGACUCGGUGAAAUAGACUUGUCUAUGAAGAUGCGGACUACCUGCACCUGGACAGAAAGACCCUAUGAAGCUUUACUGUAACUUGAAAUUGAAAUUGGACUUUAUUCGCGCAGUAUAGGUGGGAGGCGUUGAGAAUAUUCUUGCGGGAAUGUUGGAGCCAUCAGUGAGAUACCACUCUUGUAAUGUUAGAUUUCUAACUUUGCAUCAUUAUCUGGUCAAAGGACAGUUUCAGGCGGGCAGUUUGACUGGGGCGGUCGCCUCCUAAACGGUAACGGAGGCGUACAAAGGUUUCCUCUGAACGGGUAGAAAUCGUAUCUAGAGUGUAAAGGCAUAAGGAAGCUUGACUGUGAGACCUACAAGUCGAGCAGGGACGAAAGUCGGUCUUAGUGAUCUGACGGUGCUGAGUGGAAAGGCCGUCACUCAACGGAUAAAAGUUACUCUAGGAUAACAGGCUGAUCUCCCCCAAGAGUUCACAUCGACGGGGAGGUUUGGCACCUCGAUGUCGGCUCAUCGCAUCCUGGGGCGGUAGUACGUCCCAAGGGUUGGGCUGUUCGCCCAUGAAAGCGGUACGCGAGCUGGGUCCAGAACGUCGUGAGACAGUUCGGUCCAUAUCCGGUGUAGGCGUUAGAAUAUUGAGAGGAGCCUUCUUUAGUACGAGAGGACCGAGAAGGACAUACCUCUGGUGUACCAGUUAUCGUGCCAACGGUAAACGCUGGGUAGCUAUGUAUGGAGAGGAUAACCGCUGAAAGCAUCUAAGUGGGAAGCCCACCUCAAGAUAAG